AAACCGCUUAGGGGUUAAGCCCGAUGAACCUGAAUAUCUGAAUUGAGAAAUUCAAUACUAUUUUAGUAAUUUAUCCUUAAAAAAUAAAUAAACGAUGGUAUGCACUUUUCUCAUAGUAGGACAUUGCGAUCUAUUAGUAUAUCUUUAUAGAUGGUUUAUCAAACGGCCCGUUUGGUUUGUUUAUUCUAUCUGUGGCACUUGUGUCAUAUGAAUAAUACCGAUGCGGUGACCUGGUAAACAGCUGAUAGAGCUUAAAAAUCAUGCAACCAUGCAUAUGUAUCACAUUUUAUGUAUUUUUAAUAUGUAGAUGUAGUGAUAGCAUGUAUUUGAUUAGCAAUGCGAUAGAUUUGGGAUACCUUCGGGACCCGUCUUGAAACACGGACCAAGAAGUCUAACAUGUGUGUAAGUCAUUGGGUAUUUGUUGAAACCUAAAGGCGUAAUUAAAAUAACUAUUUUAAUGGGAUUACAAGCAAUUUAAUAUAUUGUUUCUCCAUCCCGGGGCGUUCUAUACGAACAUGGUUUAAGCAAUUAGACCCUCUGUUCAAGAGCGUACCUUGAACAUACAUGCUGU
rnacentral:rRNA from 1 species